rnacentral:rRNA from 1 species
UAGUCAUAUGCUUGUCUCAAAGAUUAAGCCAUGCAUGUCUAAGUAUAAGCAAUUAUACCGCGAAACUGCGAAUGGCUCAUUAUAUAAGUUAUCGUUUAUUUGAUAGUACCUUACUACUUGGAUAACCGCGGUAAUUCUAGAGCUAAUACAUGCUAAAAAUCCCGACUUCGGAAGGGAUGUAUUUAUUAGAUUAAAAGCCAAUGCCCUCUGGGCUCUCUGGUGAUUCAUGAUAACUUCUCGAAUCGCAUGGCCUUGCGCCGGCGAUGGUUCAUUCAAAUUUCUUCCCUAUCAACUUUCGAUGUUUGGGUAUUGGCCAAACAUGGUUGCAACGGGUAACGGAGGGUUAGGGCUCGACCCCGGAGAAGGAGCCUGAGAAACGGCUACUACAUCCAAGGAAGGCAGCAGGCGCGCAAAUUACCCAAUCCCGACACGGGGAGGUAGUGACAAUAAAUACUGAUACAGGGCUCUUUUGGGUCUUGUAAUUGGAAUGAGUACAAUUUAAAUCCCUUAACGAGGAACAGUUGGGGGGCAAGUCUGGUGCCAGCAGCC